rnacentral:rRNA from 1 species
UACAGAGGUCCCGAGCGUUGUUCGGAUUCACUGGGCGUAAAGGGUGCGUAGGCGGCCCUGUAAGUCAGUGCUGAAAUAUCCCGGCUUAACCGGGAGGGUGGCAUUGAUACUGCAGGGCUUGAGUGAAGUCGAGGUAGGCGGAAUUGACGGUGUAGCGGUGAAAUGCUUAGAUAUCGUCAAGAACACCGAUAGUGAAGACAGCUUACUAGACUUCAACUGACGCUGAGGCACGAAAGUGUGGGGAUCAAACAGG